GGUGUUGUAGCUCAUUGGUAGAGGGCUUGCCUAGCAUGCAUGAGGCACUAGGUUCAAUCCUCGGCACCA
rnacentral:tRNA from 1 species